rnacentral:rRNA from 1 species
AUGAACGCUAGCGAUAGGCUUCACACAUGCAAGUCGCGGGGCAGCACAAGGUAGCUUGCUAUCUGGGUGGCGACCGGCGCACGGGUGCGUAACACGUAUGCAACUUGCCCUAUACAGGAGGAUAACCCGUCGAAAGACGGACUAAUACUGCGUAUGCUCACAACUUGGCAUCAAGUGGUGAGGAAAGAAAUUCGGUAUAGGAUAGGCAUGCGUCCCAUUAGCUUGUUGGUGAGGUAACGGCUCACCAAGGCAACGAUGGGUAGGGGAACUGAGAGGUUUAUCCCCCACACUGGUACUGAGACACGGACCAGACUCCUACGGGAGGCAGCAGUGAGGAAUAUUGGUCAAUGGGCGCGAGCCUGAACCAGCCAAGUCGCGUGAAGGAUGACUGUCUUAUGGAUUGUAAACUUCUUUUAUACGGGAAUAACAAGAGUCACGUGUGACUCCCUGCAUGUACCGUACGAGUAAGCAUCGGCUAACUCCGUG